rnacentral:rRNA from 1 species
CCUACGGGGAGCAGCAGUGGGGAAUAUUGCACAAUGGGGGAAACCCUGAUGCAGCGACGCCGCGUGAGUGAAGAAGUAAUUCGUUAUGUAAAGCUCUAUCAGCAGGGAAGAAAAUGACGGUACCUGAGUAAGAAGCCCCGGCUAACUACGUGCCAGCAGCCGCGGUAAGACGUAGGGGGCAAGCGUUAUCCGGAUUUACUGGGUGUAAAGGGAGCGUAGACGGCAGUGCAAGUCUGGAGUGAAAGGCGGGGGCUCAACCCCCGGACUGCUCUGGAAACUGUACGGCUGGAGUGCAGGAGAGGUAAGUGGAAUUCCUAGUGUAGCGGUGAAAUGCGUAGAGAUUAGGAGGAACACCAGUGGCGAAGGCGGCUUACUGGACUGUAACUGACGUUGAGGCUCGAAAGCGUGGGGAGCAAACAGGAUUAGAUACCCGAGUAGUC